GACGGACGCUGGCGGCGUGCUUAACACAUGCAAGUCGAACGGUGAAGCGAGUGCUUGCACUCGUGGAUCAGUGGCGAACGGGUGAGUAACACGUGAGUAACCUGCCCAUCACUCUGGGAUAAGCACUGGAAACGGUGUCUAAUACUGGAUACGACCAACCCUUGCAUGGGGUGUUGGUGGAAAGAUUUAUCGGUGAUGGAUGGACUCGCGGCCUAUCAGCUUGUUGGCGGGGUAAUGGCCCACCAAGGCGACGACGGGUAGCCGGCCUGAGAGGGUGACCGGCCACACUGGGACUGAGACACGGCCCAGACUCCUACGGGAGGCAGCAGUGGGGAAUAUUGCACAAUGGGCGAAAGCCUGAUGCAGCGACGCCGCGUGAGGGAUGACGGCCUUCGGGUUGUAAACCUCUUUCAGCAGGGAAGAAGCGAAAGUGACGGUACCUGCAGAAGAAGCACCGGCUAACUACGUG
rnacentral:rRNA from 1 species